rnacentral:lncRNA from 1 species
CCACCGACGACGGCGAUGGAGGGUAAGGAGUCCCACAGAGUAGGUAAUGCACUAGCUUCACCAUGAUCACCAAGAGCAGUGCAAGCUCUUUGAAUUUUAUUUACUAAAGUAAUCAAGUUCUCCAUCAAUUUAGUAGAUACGGAGAUCGGUGACGGUGAUUUGGUAGAUCGAGGCUGGAUCUGGAGGAAAAGGUGGCGUUUGAGAGAGGAUGGGAUCUGAGCUUGAGUUUGAAGUUUGAAUUUUUUCUUCUUUUUGUGUG